rnacentral:rRNA from 1 species
GAUGAACGCUGGCGGCGUGCCUAAUACAUGCAAGUCGAGCGAACAGAUGAGGAGCUUGCUCCUCUGACGUUAGCGGCGGACGGGUGAGUAACACGUGGAUAACCUACCUAUAAGACUGGGAUAACUUCGGGAAACCGGAGCUAAUACCGGAUAAUAUAUUGAACCGCAUGGUUCAAUAGUGAAAGACGGUUUUGCUGUCACUUAUAGAUGGAUCCGCGCCGCAUUAGCUAGUUGGUAAGGUAACGGCUUACCAAGGCGACGAUGCGUAGCCGACCUGAGAGGGUGAUCGGCCACACUGGAACUGAGACACGGUCCAGACUCCUACGGGAGGCAGCGGUAGGGAAUCUUCCGCAAUGGGCGAAAGCCUGACGGAGCAACGCCGCGUGAGUGAUGAAGGUCUUCGGAUCGUAAAACUCUGUUAUUAGGGAAGAACAAAUGUGUAAGUAACUAUGCACGUCUUGACGGUACCUAAUCAGAAAGCCACGGCUAACUACGUG